UGAAAUUUGAGGGUGUUCAGGUGGAUAUGGUAACUGUUCGCACGGUAAUCAAGGGAUUGUGCAGGUGAUUUGACAGCAAACGGUCAUGAUUUUGGAGAUACUUUACUGCGCAAGAUCGCCUGGUCGGCCCAUCGGCAGUUCUCCCUAACGGUAAUAUUGCCGAUGAGCGCAUAAAGUGGAGAGAUUUGAUUGAGAGGUUGAGAAAUUCGAGGAAUCUGUAGUAGAAUCGGGCCAAGGUUGUUU
rnacentral:lncRNA from 1 species